rnacentral:lncRNA from 1 species
UUUGUUUCCAAAAUAAGAAUAUCGUUUAUUUGUUGAUCAACACUUGAAGGAAAAUUAAGUAAAAAAGAAUGGGAAGAAGAACCAAGAGCCUUGUGGAUAAACAAGCUUGUUCAAUAUACGGCCCUGCAUUAUUGAGUGACUGUGGAUUGCCUGAUUCGUCUUUUGGUUUCUUGACUUCCUUUGCCUUGGAUUUUCUAACUCCAGUGUUAAUUGGUGGUGUUUUUUUCUGUUUGAGUUUUAAACAAUUUUCUACCAAUCACUUCAGAUACACAAUAAUCACUGAGAUAGCAAAGAGAGAAAUGCGUGUUAACAUGAUGAGAACAACCUGAAGUAAGGUGGGCACCCUUGCUUUUAGCGGUCCCGGUGGCCCACUGUCAACACUUCCUCCAUACCCUACCUCCUCACAGAAAGGAGGGGCCCAGCCAUACAAGCAGUGGCAGUUUUUUUUAUUGUUGCAAAUGCCCCGGUGGUUGCACUUCUCAGGCAAACAGUCAAACUGCAGCAAUGAGCUAUCCACACAGGUUCUGUUAACACAUAUCCGAUUCGUACCACAGGAGGUACCAUCAUUUACCACACCAAUGUCAGGUAUCCCCAAGGGUACCUUGGAUAGAUGAUAGCCUGUGCCCCAGCACAUGAGGUUUUCCUCUCCCAAAUGAGUAGAAAUGAUAGUAGUAUGUUCUGGCAUUUCAGGGAUGGUUUUGACAUUGAUACACUGUAGCCUGCCACAUACUGCAUUUUCCCUAGUACACUUUUGAUAGUCACCAAUUCCUCUAAUACCACAGUUCCCAUGUUGAUCACCAAUUAAAUUAACUGCAUCAUAGCACUUACUGGGAGCCUCCCUGGCAUCAGGUCCAAAAAGCCUUUGGCACUGCAUAUAUCUGGAUUGGCACCCCUUUCUGAAACAACGGGCUUCGUACUUGCAAGGGGUUCCAUCCUGCUUAUAAGUGUCACUUGGGCAGAGACCUGAGGUCCCAGUGCAGUACUCUGCAAGGUCACAUUCAUUUUCUUCCUUCCGACACACAUACCCAGAGGGACGAAAGUGACACUUAUGACAGCAAAGUCCCAUGCUACAAUUGACACCAUGUUUCAAUUUACAAUCUGGUUGACAACACUGGUCUUUUUUACAGUCCUCUCUUGAACCACAAUCACAUUCCUCAUUCUCUUCCACAAUUUUGUUUCCACAUCUCUGAACCACAUAGCCUACUUCUGGGAUGUCAGUUAGACACGCUCCUGCUGAGUGUAUGAAAGCAAUAUAAUAGGAAUAACUACAAUUACUAAACCCAGUUCGCCCAGUGCCCAUGAUGCAACUACGCCUGCCCUUACAUUGACAGUAUUCAUAAUCAUGGGACAUUCCCACACCAUGGCCAAGGCAAUGAGCACUCCAGGUGGCAGGUCCAAGGACAUUUAUAUCUGGAAAGACACUUAUAGCUCCACUGUAUGUCUGACUACACACUCUUCCAAAGGACUGUCCAAGGUAAUCGACAUAUUGUCCUUUAAGGUAUAGGUGUGCCCAAUCUGCCGGGAUCCGGGCAUUUAGGGUCCUGCGUCUGUACAGCAAAAAUUGGCUUAAAACCUGCUGUGUCGUUGGAGAAUCAACCUUCAUUUUGUUUGCAUCUGUCCAAACUUCAAUACCUCUCAGAUGUAUUCUCAUAUUGAUAUCUUGGAAGUAAGUGUCCAUAAUCCCAGUCAUAAGAAUGGCAUCAUUUAUGACUCGAGUAAGAUUGGAAUUGGAGUACAAAUAUCUACGAUGAUCAAAGACCAGGGCUAAUUCAAGGUACUUUUUGUGUUUAUAGGAGUCAGAAAAGUCCCUAAGCCGAGCCACAUUCUCAUGCUGGGCCAUCUGCCGUUUUAUUUCAUCAUCAAGUAAGCCACAGGACUGAUUGUGAAAUUCCUCUUCUUUCUUCAGAAGAUAUAUGACAUGUUCAAAACUGGAAGAGGCCUUGAGGGGCUCGAUUUGGUAAUGUUUGGCAUCAAUUUUCAAUAUGCCUUGGAGACCCCCCAGGCAUGUACUUAGGGUAGCUUCAGAAUCCCGGGUUCCUUCAAUGAAACCCAUAUAGUUGCAGUCCCCCGGUAUGUAAGGGUAAUCCUCCAGGAGAUCGCCCUCUUCUGUGAAGGAGAAAACCUGCAGAUUUCGGGACAAUAGUAACCUCUUGGGCCACAGGUGGAGGACAUGCUCCUUGCCUUUUACCUGCAGGAGGUAGGACACGUGCUUGGCCACAGCCUCCUCCCCUCCCCGUGAACUCAGCUUCUUGGGGAUGAUGAUUUCAUACGAGUCAAACCCCCACUCAGGGUGAAAAAUUAAAUCCUCGCCGAGAGAGUCAACCAGGAGCAGCCCCAGGACUAGGAUCAGGAUGGAGAGCGAACGGCCUUGGGAGAGUAAGGUCCUCACUGACCUCAUGGCGCAGCUCCGUCCUUUAGGGAGUCAGUCCCUGCCGCUGCGGCCUUGCGAGUCAGACUUCCAGGGGCCGCCACUAGAGGCGCCGGAGCGCAAAGUGCGGAGCUCCCAGAGCAGGGCGGGCGGGAGCUCCAGCCUCCCGGGCUCGGCCCAGCUGACAUUUCCCGGAACCAUACCUAGACCGUUUUCUGGGCGGCGCCGUUGGGCGCACGUGGAAGAAACGAGGGAAACGUGCGCGCGAAUAAAAGAGAAAAGAGAGGCUAUUGGCACGAGGGAUGGAAAAGGGCAGAGAGCGGCUGGGAAAAGCAGGCAUAGGGAAUAGGAAGAACAGAGAACCUGUUGAAGGCUCACUAUGCCUGUGCCGUUUAGUCUUGUUUCUGUGGCCCGAGUGCAUACCUGAUGUUUUCCAUCGGUUGGAAUGGGAUGUUUUAUGGGCCACUGUGCCCACCUCACCACUCCGUUGCCAGUUUUCCCCUGGGCUCGCCUGAGGCGGAGGGAAGGAGCGCCACGGAGCCGGCAAGAGCAGCAGCAGAGCUGAGAACAUCAGUGCAGAGUCUACAUUCCAGCCCCGUCUCGGGCAGCGCCUGAAUUCAGGCGAGAGAAAGGUUCCGGGGGGCGGGGGGGGGGCUCUUUGUGCCGUGCGUCCUUAGGUGCCAGGGAUCAGCGUGAUUUGUGGGGGUGUGUGUACAGUGGCGGGGAAAUCUAGGAAGAGAAAAGUACCUCGGAAAACGGCAAAACCCGGGAGGUUCCAGAGAAAGAUAAUCAUAACCCUAUUAUUAUCAUCCGUAUGUUACACACGAGGAAGCUGAAACAAUACUUUGGCUCAGAUGGUGAUGCGAGGUUGAAGAUAUUUUGCUAUAAUUAUCCUGGACAACACAAGAAUCACAGACCUUAUGAGGAGAAAGAGGCGAAUAAACAGAAACAACAGUGUGUGUGCUUUCUCGGACAGGUGUUGUUUGCUCUCUCCUGAAGGCCCAUUCUCAAUGCUUCCUCCAAACCACUCCUCCUCACAGAAAGGAGGGGCCAACCUCACAAACAUUGGCAGUUUUUUCUAUUAUUGCUAACAUCUCAGUAGUUGCAAAUCUCAGGCCAACAGUCACAUUUUAGGGUUGUGAUUUUGACAUAUUCUCUGUCAAUACAUACCAGGUCCUCACCGCAGGAAGUGCCAUCCCUCACGAUGCCCAAAUCUGGUAAUCCACAGGCUAUCAAAGAUGCAUGAUACUCUGUGCACAGGAGAUUUUCCUUCUGCAGAUGAGUGGAAGGUAGAGUAAUAUGAUCAAGCAUGUUAGGGAUGGCCUUGACACUGAUACACGGCGUCCUUCCACAUGAUGUAUGUUCAGUUUACAUGUUAUAUAACCACGACCCUAGAUUCCACAGUUUCCAGAUCCAUCAUCCCGUAAAGUCACUGCAUUGUAUCAUUGACAUGGCCCAUCUAUGGCUUCUUCUCCAAAUAUAUUUUUACACUAUAGGUAAUGAAUGUAGCAUUCCUUUUUGUAACAAAGGCAACCACCUUUGCAAGGAGUUUCAUCUUACUCAUAAGGAUCAUCUGGGCAGAGGCUUGAAUUCCCAUUGCAGGACUCUGCAAGUUUGCGUCCAUUUUCUUUCCGCUCUACUACUAAAUUGGAGGCGGGAAGGCCUGUAGGGGGAGCUCUCACACCCUAUCAUACAAUGUCAAUUAUGCCGAACAAUAAGGGAACGUACGCUUGCAUCUCAGACAGGAAGGUGUUUACUGCUUUCCUACAAAGCAGAAGGUAGAUUUCUCUCCCUGCCUGGCAACAGCCCAGCCAAUGAGAGACUGUGGCAACCCAAACAAUGAGAAGCCUUUACACUUUGGACUCCCAGUUUUCUCCAAUGGAUUGUUUGUUUAUUACAGCCCCUCCCUUCUCCCCCUUUUCCUCUAUACUAGAAGCAAACCCCUUUCUUUGUUUCUCUGGAUCUGAUUAUCAUGGGUGUAGCCUGUGUAUGUGGAAUUACAAUUCCUCUGGCUAUUCCCAAAUAAACUCAUUCUGCA